GACAGAGGGUGCAAACGUUGUUCGGAUUUACUGGGCGUAAAGCGCGUGUAGGCGGCUUCGUAAGUUGGAUGUGAAAUCCCACGGCUCAACCGUGGACGUGCAUCCAAAACUACGUCGCUGGAGUCUCGGAGAGGAAGGUGGAAUGCUUGGUGUAGAGGUGAAAUUCGUAGAUAUCAAGCAGAACACCUGCGGCGAAGGCGGCCUUCUGGACGGUGACUGACGCUGAGACGCGAAAGCGUGGGGAGCAAACAGG
rnacentral:rRNA from 1 species